CCUACGGGUGGCAGCAGUGGGGAAUAUUGCGCAAUGGGCGAAAGCCUGACGCAGCGACGCCGCGUGAGGGAUGAAGGUCUUCGGAUCGUAAACCUCUGUCAGCAGGGAAGAACGGUCACUGUGCUAAUCAGCAGUGAAUUGACGGUACCUGCAAAGGAAGCACCGGCUAACUCCGUGCCAGCAGCCGCGGUAAUACGGAGGGUGCGAGCGUUAAUCGGAAUUACUGGGCGUAAAGCGAUCGUAGGCGGUAUGUCAAGUCAAGUGUGAAAUCCCCGGGCUCAACGUGUGCACUGCGUUUGAAACUGGCAAACUUGAGUGUGUGAGAGGAUAGUGGAAUUCCAGGUGUAGGAGUGAAAUCCGUAGAUAUCUGGAGGAACAUCAGUGGCGAAGGCGACCAUCUGGCACAUAACUGACGCUGAGGAGCGAAAGCGUGGGUAGCAAACAGGAUUAGAUACCCCAGUAGUC
rnacentral:rRNA from 1 species